CAGAAGCCCAGAUAAAGGAAAAGGAUCUCAGGCAAAAGAGGAAAAAAUAAAAUAAAGAGGCAAGACUUAAAAUGUCCUGUGAAAUGGAGAGCAUUUGGCCCCCGGCACACGUUGUCUGCGGGAGAUGACUCAACUCCUUUAUAAAGCGGUGAGUUUCGUGUGAGUACAGAUGCAUUUUGUUUUCCUAGGAGGAAUCAAUGAUUAAAUUAUCAGAAACCAAGCUAAAAACCAGGCUGCUUGUAUAUUUCUCACACCUCCCCAGUGUCUCCCGCUUAUGAGGUGCGGGCUUUAUCUCGGAAGCUUUAGUUUAAAUGUCCAACACAUCUUAUUAAUGAAAGUAAUAAGCUGUUGUUUAUUAUAUGUCAUAAUGGGGACUAUGACUAUUUAAUAUAAAUCUGACAUUUAAAUUCCAUUUAGUUCUGCAAUGUGGACAGUUUCAAGGCAUAACUCUUUACCCCCGAGUAAAAACUCCCUGGGUCUGCAUUUUAAAAGCAUUGAAGUUUUCAAAGUAAUCAGGUUCCUUUUUUUUUUUUUUUCCAGAGGAACCAAAUUGUGAAGACAUCUGUUCUGUUAUUAAUUUCACAUAAAUCUUAAGCUCCUCAAGGCCAGAAAUGAGGCUUCAUUCACGUCGAAUUAAUGAAACAUGAUUGUAAGUCCCUUGCAUGGAAAUGCUGUCACACAAUUCUGAGCUGCUUAUAAGCACUGAGUAAUCUCACAAACUACCAGGGGACAGCCCGGCGAAAUCCGCCCUCCCCUCCCCCCGCCACCCGAAAACAAUAUCUGAAAAUAUCACAACACUAACUGUAUCCUGAAAGAUUAAUAGCAGAUGAACAUUUCUGGGAAAUGAAUCAGACUUUCUUGGUAAAGGAUACAAAUAUCGGGGGUAGAAGCAGAUUGCACAAUGCAAGAGCGCUUUGGAUACAGUUUAAUAACUGCAGCCCUGUGUGCGCCUCGGGGGGGAGGGCCCCUUCCCCCUCCCCCCCCCCCCCCCCCCCCCCGCCCCCGGGAUGUCCUGCAGAGGUGUCUUCGGGGGGGGGGAUGUUGAAGACAUAAGUUCGAAACGGGAAACCUUCCCUGGCCAAAGCAUGAUACGGGUGUCACACGUGUGGGAGAAUGUGUGUGCGUCUGUGUGUGCAGAACUUGUGUGUGAGUGCGCGUGUCUGUGGUGCGUGCAUUUGUGAGUGUGUGUGUAGGAAAGAUACGUGAGUCUGUAUGGACACAGACACACACACACGUAGAUAGAACCCUCUCAGGAUAGACACAAAUCAGUCAGCGGGAUACGGAUCUUAAGUAAUAGCUCAGCACAAUCUUAUGCCCGUUUGAGCUCUUGAAAGGAACUUGCUUCUGGGAUUUUGAGUGUGAAGGGCAUGAUUUUUUUGUCAAAUAACCGAAAUUGCCAGCAGAAAGAUUGUCUGGAGGGAGCCGUGGAAAGGGGAGCCUGAGAUUUCUUAAUCAAACUUCCAAGUGUUAUUUUUGGUCUUCCGCUGAGCUGGGACCCAAAAAAGAAUCUGCAUAUGAUAUUUACAUCUCAAAUCUUCAGAGCCUCAUUAGCUUUGAUAUUUAUUUAUUUAUUUAUCUGCAAAAAGGAAUUUAAAUCAAACAGAGAGGCACAAAAGCAAAACCUUUGAAUGCAGUGCAAAAUUAAUUAAAACCGGCAGCCGAUGGAUGGGUAGCGUGGAAUACAAUGGAACUCGGAGAAAAGACAAUGAAACUAAUUAGACCCUGAUAGGAAACUCUUUCCCCUUUUACUGAUCAUCCGUUGGUAAUUACUAAGUCACCAAUACUGGUAUUAGAAGAAGUCGCCAGGAUUUUAUCCCCCUGUUUUUUCUAGACGUUUCCUUCGUUUCCUUAGACUCUGAUCUUCCACACUGAGCCAAUCAAGUUAUGCGAGGUUGUGUUUGUUUUGUUUUGGAGAAAGCAGUCAAAUGGAUCCCCAGCAACUGCUGAGCUCUUACCAGCUUCCCCAAAAUAACACAUAAGUGGGCUGAAUGUAACAGACAGCAGAGGAGGACAGCAGGUCUCCAAAGGCAAGGGAUGUGGAGCUCCCACAGCUGGCGCUCACCCAAGUGGUGGAUCCAAUUUGUCUAUACCAACACAUACAGUCCCCGCUACAUUGUUGCCCAUGGACACUCUGAGGCUUUGCGUUACCAUCCGUGCUUCACAGAUCUGUGAAAACCAUUUCCAACCACCCAGCUGAAAAACCCUUGACCCACAAUAUGAGAGAGGCUUUUAGCUUUGUGUAGCAUAACACACGCAGCAACACAAACGUACGCCUGUCACAGUGGGACAAUUUAACGCAGAGCCCGCCUGUCACAAAGUUUUAAAGUUUCAGCUUCUUUGAGAAUCUCCCUCCGACCACCCCCCUCCCUGUCAGCCCAGCACUUAAGUCCCUCAGGAUGACCCUGGGUCAUUGCUAGCUUAAGGAGAGCUUUGAGAAAUACCUUGCUGAACCUGUUUGAUUUUAAAAGAUGGAUACAAUGCUAAUGGCGGAAUUUCAGGCUUUAGGGAGGCUGGAUAAAAGGGACAGUUUUGAGCAAAGAAUCUUCCCAAGUGAUUCCUCAAGAACAAUUCUCCUCCAAUGCGUAGAGUUGGCCGUGUUUAGAUAAGUGGGUAAAUUAAGCAAGAUCUCAGUUUUCCUCUGUGUAAAAUGGGAGGAACUGAAUUGGAACUAGAAUGAUCUGAACGAUUUCUUAAAGGGGAUGCAAUUCAUGAUUCUCACACACACGCAUCACAUAUGUGUGUGUCUAUAUAUAUAUAUAUAUAUAUAUGUGCGUGUGUGUGUGUGUGUAGAUUGAGAGAGAGAGAGAGAACUUUGCUUAUGUACAAAGAAAACACGAAAACCAAGGCUCUUUCUUAUAAUCAGCAUAUGGAUUCAUUCAUUCACUGCGUGUGUGUGUGUGUGUGUGUGUGUGUGUGUGUGAGAGAGAGAGAGAUCUCUGGGCCGGGUCCUGCAUCACUCAGUUCUUCCACAUCGUUUCAUUUAACCCUUACAACACCUUUCAAGGUGGGUAUUCCUACCAAGAGUGGUAGUCAAUCUAUGUAAAGAUCCAUAAACCAUGACCCCUGCCAAUCAGAAAGACACUAGCAGAGCAGUGGACGCCCUUGUCUGCACCAGGUACCCACUGCAAGAUGACAAGAGGUGGAAUUUGGGGGAGGAGGGGGAGGAGCUGGGCGCUGGCAAGAUGGAGGGUGUUGGAGGGUGUUUGGAAUGUUUAGCAACUGGCCUGAGAAGUGCUCUAGUUUUUUUUUAAUGUUUAUUUAUUUUUGAGAGAGAGAGGGACAGGACCGAGCAUGAGCACGGGAGAGGCAGAGAGCGAGGGAGACACAGAAUCCGAAGCGGGCCCCAGGAUCCGCACUGUCAGCACAGAGCCUGAUGGGGGGUUCGAGCUCACGAACCGUGAGAACAUGACCUGAGCCCAAGUCGGACGCUUAACCGACUGAGCCGCCCAGGCGCCCCUUGUGGUGCUCUCAUUUUUAAACAACGAAUACAGGCUGUACCAUUGGGUAUGGCUGAAUAUCAGCCUUGGUUUUCAGUCUCCCCAUUCUGCAGAGGACAAACGUGGGACUUUGGGAGGUCAAGGAACCUUCUCAAGAUCAACCCACUAGGUGGCGACUGCCCUGAGGUGGAAGCCCCUUUAAGUUGUUAAGACUCCCAAGUUCACGUUCUUAACCACUGUGCUGGCUCUAAAGAUCUCUCUAAGCUGACCUCAAUAUGUCCCAGGCUGGCCCAGCAUUUCUUUAUAAGGAGAGGCCCCAGAAUCCUCUUUGAGUGGGGGUAGAGUUGCCAGGUUUAGCAAACAAAUACAGGACACUCCAUUAAACUUGAAUUUCAGAUAGACAAUGAGAACGGUCUUUGUAUAUUUUUAGCAUAUUGCAUGGGACACACUAAAAAAUUAUUCAUUAUUCAUCUGAAAUUCAAAUUUAACUGGACACCUUCUUUUUAUCGGCAGCUCUAAGUGGCAAGGGGCAAGGGGGUGGUCACAGGGAUACUGAGACAUGUCGGUCUGCAGAAAUUUUUUCUUUUCUGGGGACUCCCUCCUCCAAAGCCAACGGGUCUCACCUGCGGUCAUCUCAUUCGCUGUACCUUCUUGAUUCUAAAGUGGCAGUGCCAAGGUAGGGGUCAUUUAAGCCAACACCCUGCCUCUCCCUGUCCUCCCUCCACUCAAGAAGGCAGAACCCAUGGCCCAGUGGCUUGGCUUUGAAGCCAGGGAACACGGUCCACGAGGCGUGUCCUUCUCUCCAAAGCACAUGGAAACUAUUCCCUUCCAGAAGGCCUUCAUGGUUAGCCUGCUGCAAGUCUCAUGGUUUUUCGUCUGCAGUUAUAAUUUCUGUGGCACCCCCGCCCCAGCUCAGAUGGUAUUUAUUACAACACAUUGCUUUUGAAAAAAAACAACAAAAAAAAAACCCCAAACACUGCAUUUUAAUUAAAGGUUGGCGAUCCAAAGCCUGUUUGCAGAUGAGCAAAAUAAAACAACCACUAAGAAGCAGGCAGCGCGUCUCCUCUGUCGGUGAGAAUACCACCGUCUACACUCGGGGCGGGGGCGGGGGGGGGUCUCCUAUGUGUCAGCCACCCCAUCAUCAUGGGGUGCUUUGCUGCCCAACUAAUGGAAAUGAGCCACAAGGCUUAAAAGGAACAGCUUUCAGAGCAACAUGGUGCCUGGGGGCGGGUGGGAAGUUAAGGAGGGUUGUCUGGUGUCCAGAAACCAGCCUACUGGCCAUGACAGUGGGUCAAUUUCUGAGGUCAGGUGGAAGCGGGGACAGUCUGGCUCUGCCCCGCCUCUGAGCCAAGAUGAAAUAAGCUGGCAUUUACAAAUAAAAUGCCCCUUCCCAGGGUGGGGCUCAUUAACUUGGAUUUCACGGAGCAGAAGCUCCCUAAAAGAUCCGUGGGGGGAUUUCCGGGAGCCCGUGAGCUUGCGCGGGAAAAAUUCACACACACACACACACACACACACACACACACACACAUGCACACACAUGUUGUCUGGGCGCUGAUUUCUAACUGCAAGUUGACAUUUCCUUCUGUUCUGAAGGCAGACACCCAACCACAAUUGUAUCAGCACUCCUUGUGACCUUUGUCACCAGUCGAAGUCACAGCUAUUUAAUACCAUGUUUUCUAGUUGUCAGAGGACAUCUUGAAGCCGGCUCAGUACUAUCUUGAAUUUGUAACUACUCGCCCCACCUCUCCCUCGUGUUUUUGAAAAGUUAAUAAAGGGGCGCCUGGGUGGCGCAGUCGGUUGAGCGUCCAACUUCAGCUCAGGUCACGAUCUCGCGGUCCGUGAGUUCGAGCCCCGCGUCGGGCUCUGGGCUGAUGGCUCAGAGCCUGGAGCCUGCUUCCGAUUCUGUGUCCCCCUCUCUCUCUGCCCCUCCCCCGUUCAUGCUCUGUCUCUCUCUGUCCCAAAAAUAAAUAAAACGUUAAAAAAAAUUUAAAAAAAAGUUAAUAAAAGCACACGGAUUGCCCUAUCUUUGUAAAAUUAUUUGGACUCAGAGUUUGUUUUCUUUGUAGUCCUGGUUUUUACCGUAUGCUUGUGAGAAUUUAUUUUGUAAUAAAACCCAAGGAUGGUGCUAAGGGAAGUCAGCCAGGCACAAAAGGACACAUAGCUAUUCGGUCCCACUCAGAUGAGAGACUUAGAGGAGCCAAAUUCACAGAGACAGAGAAUAGAAUGGUGCGAGGGCUGGGAGGAGAGGGGUGAGGGAGGAGUUAGCGUUUGAUGGGGACAGAGUCUCUGCAUGGAAGUGAUGUUUGCACAACUGUGUACGUAAGGCCAUGAACGGUAUGCUUAACCCUGGUUAGAAUGGCAAACUUUGUGUUUUGUAGAUUUUAUCACAAUUUACAAACAUUUUCUUUAAAUGUUUAUUUUUGAGACAGAGAGCACGAGUGGCGGAGGGGCAGAGAGAGGGGGACAGAGGAUUUGAAGCAGGCUCCGCAGCAGCCCCACGCGGGGCUCGAACUCACGAGCCACGAGAUCAUGACCUGAGCCAGUCAGACGCUUAACUGACUGAGCCACCCAGGCACCUCUAAAAUUUUUUUUUUUUAAUCUUUAUUUUUGAGACAGAGAGAGUCAGAGCAUGAACGGGGGAGGGGCAGAGAGAGGGAGACACAGAAUCUGAAACAGGCUCCAGGCUCUGAGCCGUCAGCACAGAGCCCGACGCGGGGCUCGAACUCACGGACCACGAGAUCAUGACCAGAGCCGAAGUCGGCGCUUAACCGACUGAGCCACCCAGGCGCCCCAUAAAAAUUUUUUUAACGUUUAUUUAUUUUUGAGAGAGAGAGAGAGAGAGAGAGGGCACACAAGCGGGGGGGGGGGGGACAGAUGAUCUGAAGCGGGCUCCAUGCUGACAGCAGAGAGCCUGAUGUCGGAUUCGAACUCAUGAACUGUAUCUUAUCACAAUUGUUUAAAAAUCCAUGGGAACAAUACAGAUAUUUUCAUAUCACACUGAAAAAAGAAGACAUUUCCUGUAAAGGGGCGCAUAGGCCUCACUGGAGGGGUCCUCGUCACAAGCGAGGCUAAGACCCCCUGAUUCUGGGGGGAGUCACCCUUCUGAACGCCUGUAUGCUGUUCCACACCUACUUUGCCUGGAGGAAUACUUCUACCCUCUCGAGGGCCCGGCUCAAAUGCCACUGUCCCCGUGGCCUCUGUUCUGUUCCCAGGGCUUACCUGAGGCUAUGGUCCUCCUGUCCCGCUAAGCAUGCUCCUUACAUCCCAGAUGGACCCUGCUACCUGUCAGCGAGCCCAAGGCCUUGCUGUCUGCCUACGUCAAGGGUUAUUUGGCAAGUGCCAGAGCCACAUAAGUACCAAACUGAGACUUCCCUCGUGUGCAACAGAGAAAAUCGAGUCACUAUUACUUAACGCUGUGUCCACGCACGACUGACGUACAUCUCAGGGUGACGGGGUGAGUUCUCCACUCCCUUUUGUUGGGUAUUAUCAGAGACAGCAUUUUGCAGAUGAGGAAAUGAGGCUCAGAGAGCUGAACCUGUCUGACCCCAGAGAUCUUCUGCAUCAGACCUCUUUUUCUUAGUGAUGUUCCUCCUUAGGAGCCCGGGGCUGCAGUACGUGGAGAUCACAUCUCGUUGGAGACUGUGGCUUUGAACUUGUCAGAGAAAAGUGAGGCACUCGACAAGCAGGGAUUGUCUGACCCUCAGAGUUGGAAGGGCCAUCCAGUUUCAGCCCCCUGUUUCCGAUGAGGAAACUGAGGCACAGAGAGAGCAUGCUGGAGAGCUGAGGGCAUAGUGUCUGGGUCUUAGCACCCUGGCACCGGCACGAGGGGCUGUCUGUUUCUUCUUCAGUCUGAGUCCUGGUGCUGGAGUGGGUGGGAGAGAGGGUCUGGGUUUGGAGCGUGUCCCUUGUCUCAGGAUCCAUGCCAUGGCACCUCUUGAACCGACACCAAAAACAGCAAUCGUAAUCACUCUGCCAACCCCUUGACGUGGAUUAUCUCGGUGAUUCCAGAACUUCCACCACUUGUGAUUCCCUUUGUAAAUGUGGCCGUAUCUGCAACUUAUCUACUUAGUGAUUUUUUUUUUCCCCUCGAAAUGGACCUACUUUUAAGACUUAGAUCUACCUAACUUACAGAGCAAAUUCUAUCUCACUACUGUAAAUACAAAACCCGAAAUCAUAUCAAUCGCUUCCAUCAAAGGAAAAUAUUUCUUAAAUUCUACCUUCGUAUUGCUGCCUGGAAUAGACUCAGAGACCGAUGCAUACUCGCUCUUUGUUAAGACACAAAGCGAACCACAGAAAUAAUCGCCACGUGUUGGCUGCUAAAGACGCACCAGCAUCAGAGGCUUUCUUGAUGUAAUUGGUAGGGGCCAAAGGAAGUUGAAAAGAGCCAUAAUGUAUUCACUGUGUGAGUCAGUGCUAUUUAAUGUCUUGUCUGAGUAUCAUCUAAAAGCAUGCCGGGUGUCAUGUGUGGUGUCUGUAUGUUUCCAAACGCUCCGUUGUCUCAGUUCAUCCUUUGCCACAACCCUAUGCUGGUAGAGUAGUGAGUACAGCCCCCAUUUGAUGGGUACAGAAGCGCCUCCAUUAGCGUGAGGUGGCCCAGCCCAGCAGAGACACCCCUGCUCUCUUUGUCUCCAGGGCUGGGACUCCUCCCUCCCAGGCGGCUGAGCCGCGUUCCCCCCCCCCCACCCCCACCCCGGGGGAUCUUGCGGUGCUCCGUGAACCCGCUGGAGCUGCGAGGCCAGGCACAAAGUCCUCUGUGUGGAGCCCCGUGGUGACACGGACUCCGGGCCUGCGGCCUCACAUCUGUGUGACAGCAGUGAGCAGGCAGCAGCCCCUGACCUGCCCAGAUGUAGCAGAUAAAGGGGACACUGAGGCAAGAAAGGAGGCGUGCACAGGAGGGGAAGGACUUGGAGGCAGGGGAAUGGACAGAAGGAGAGGAGCUCAGGGUCUUCCGCUGCAAAAUGGGGAUAAUGAAAGCUACUGCACGGGGUAGGUGACUGUCGGCAGGAUUUCAGCACAUAGUAGGCUCUUUAUCCCCCCCUCCUCUCUCAUACACCCCCUCCCCACCCAUGCGUGUGUAUUAUUUAAAUUUAAGGGGCCUCUGGGUGGCUCAGUCAGUUAAGCGUCUGACUUCAGCUCUGGUGGUGAUCUCGCCCGUCAUGGGUUCGAGCCCCUUAUCAGCACAGAGCCUGCUUCAGAUCCUCUGUCCCCCUAUCUCUGCCCCUCCCCGCCUCAAAAAUAAAUAAACAUUAAAAAAAAUAAUAAAGGGAACAUAGGGGGGUUUGUAGCAGGGUUUGAGCUGACAGGGGAAUCCACAGGACACAUGGGACGAGCAACGCCGAGAGCCCGAGCCCCCUAUUGCUUCGAGGCAACUUUACCAGAAGCUGGAGCAAGGGGUCCCUCAACAGGUUAUCAUCUGCCAUGAACCCAGCAGUCCCUCCCGGCCCGACAGCCUGCGACCCCACCAUUGGAACCUCAUGCCUCUGAGUCUGGCGUCCCCUCACGUCUGCAGGUUCCCCAGAGAAUCGCAGGAGCUGGCCAUAAAGGAGAAUUGCAGAUUUCAGGUGCUUUUUUGCAGCAGAUCCCCCAGGAAACGGGGGGGGGGGGGGGGGGGGGGUCCCCGAGAAAGGGAAGGAAGGGACCCAGCGCAGGUAGACGCCGCUCCCUCACACAUGGAGCGGGGGUCCCGCCUAAGAGGGGGAGGCCAGGCCUGCCAAGGGCCACAGAUGAAAGACCACAGAGGAGGCCCCUCCUGCGGUGCGUGACUGUGCGUCAGUUCCCUCCACGCCGGCCUCUUAUCUGCCGUGGGCGGAAAGGCGGCCUGAUGAGAAGGCCAGAUUACAGCCCAGCCCGGGCCUGCUUCUCAUCGCGGGCAGACCACUUCCGCGGGCUGCCCGGAGCCCGCCACAUCUGGCCACCUGGUGUGCUUUCCCUCCAGGACCAGGGAAAACACAAACACACCAGCGCGGGUGUGCAGGCUGUAUAAACACAGCCGAGGUGUGCAAGGCCAGCGUAGAUGGAGGAGGAGCCCGGGGUGGGGGGUGGGGGUGGGGGGGUGUUGCCGAGGGUCUAACCUGCACCGGGGGCCCAAGAAGCCUGUCUCCUCCCUGGGCCUCAGUUCCCUGAACUGUAAAAUUGUGGCCCGGAAUCCAGCCUAGCCAGGUGUCAGAGCGCCUCUGGUCCUUAAAAUUCAAACAAAAAAUAACGAUCCGGACCCUGCUCUCGGAUGAAAAUGCAGAUCCGCAAGGAACGCCCAGAGAGACAGUCAUGAAUAUUGUUGGCUACUGAAGUUCUGUCUUUGCACUGCCGAAUACCUACAUGUUAAGAAAAAUCCGACUCAGUGACAGAAUCUUAAUUCUCAGCCGAAGAGAGGGAGUAAUGGUGCAGACUUCAGGGCCAUAUUUAUUUGGUCUGAAUGAAUGAGCUUAAUCUGAGCUCGGACAGCGGUGGCCGUCUUUAUUUUGCACUGUACGGUGUUUUAUAAAAACUGAGCAAACAUUUUAACGACAGAAGGUUUCCCAUGAAAAUUCCCACACGUGACGUCUCUAGGAAAAGCUGCACAGAGUGCCGGCCUGCGGUGGCCACGGCGUGCUCGUCCUGUCCCUACCAGGUGACAUUUUGGCGGUCGAGUUUGAGACCGGACUCUACGGGGAGAAGGUCCGGAUGUUCAAGACAGAGACGGGGAUACCCGUCUUGGGGAUGUUAGUCUCCUCCCCGGUGACUGAUGCAGACACAGCCAUGAGCCUGCUCUGCCUCGAGAUGACCAGCCCCGGAGCCACAGCCCAGAGCCGGCCUUGCCUGUGGCCCCCUCCCCAUCUGUUGGCCAAGAAGGAGGCCCUGCGUGUGGCUGUCUGAGCCCUUGGGAAGCAAGUGUCAGCCUGCUGAGGGCUGGGGCCCAUAUGCGUCCCAGAAACGUCCCAACCUCCCAUUUGAUCUGGCUUUGCCACUCUAUAGCAUCUCCUGCCAACUGGUGGCUUUUCAUUUCUUCUGCCCUGGGCCUUUUUCCAACGCGCCAAAUUGCUUCUCUUUCUUUCUGCGGGUAGGUCUCCACGCUCGGUGACAGGGUUCUGCCGAUGGAGGCGUGGGCAAAAAUGACUUUCAGGGUGGAGGCCUGUGUCUGUCUGACUUUCCAGACUCCACCUCCCUCGUGGUCUUAACUCUCUGGCUCGGCCUUCCCGGUUUGCCGUGCCCAGGGGACGGAGUGGCGGGCGGGGGUGGGGGGUGGUGACAGCCAGAAUAAGCUUCCCCAGGAGGGAGUGCCUGAGCUUGGUCCACAGCUAAACACAGCAGGUAAGUCACAUAAGGAGCGAGAAGAGCCUGUGGCACGCCCCCGAGGUAGGGCGGUGCCAGCUACGUUCUGGGGAGAGGCGGGAGCGGCAGGUUCCUGGGCAUCUAUUUUAGGGAUGGUGAGGAAUGGAUGGUAGGCAGGGCGAGAGUGCCGGGGGCCGGGGACGCCCUGGUCCGCUUUGUCCUGAGGUCCCCGGGAGCUGUUGCAGGUUUAAAGCCACAGAUGAUGCUGUCAGAUCUGCGUUUGGGAAACAGCAAUGUAUCGAUUAGAAGAGAGACAGGAGGAACAGAAAGAAGGUAACAGCAACGAUCCACACGGCAGGCAAAGGCCGAAUGGAAUGGAGGCGGCAUGACUGUGGGUCUCGGGGGCCGGAAGGGAGCGGUUUGGAGGCUCAGGACGGGCCGGCACGAGGGAGGCUUCUGCAUCCUUGCCUGUGAAGGUCGAGAGAGAGGAAGGAAUGCCUAAUCUGGGCUCCAGGGCACUGUUGGCUCCAGUAAGACAGGCUGGGGCGGGGGGGGGGGGGGGGGGGUGCAGAAACCACUGAAUCUGGUUUUACAUGUGGAUAAGUAAUUAAUAUGCAAAAGACAGCUGCAGUGGGGGGGGGUAUCAAUUUGCACAAUCUACAGCCUGUGGGUGCACACGCGUGUGUUUUGAACGCAUAAAGAUCUUGGGAAUCAAGGAAAAGUCAUUUUCUUUCUGCCUUCGCUGCCGGGAGAAUCACGUUCAGCUGGCUGAAAUGUCGUCUCUUCCAGGCAGAACUCCGGGCUUCCCUCUACACCCCCGUGUUCUUAUUUCACGGCAGUGCUUAUCUCAUGGACCGAGAGUUCACUGCUUCUGACUCUGUCUCGAUGACGAGCUGUUGAUUUCAUCUUUACAUUCACCAUCUGGCACAGUGUUUAAUAUACAGAUAUUGUCACUAAACGUCGAAGAAAGAAUAAAUGAUUUUUUUAUGUUCUUCUUAUGGCUUUGGAUUCAAGGCACAGAGAAACCCAAGCACUUGUCCUAGAUCACACAAUGAUCUUAGACCAGAUCCCGAGGGACCUUUUUCACCAGCUUUGCCUUUCUCAGGAGACUUGGCAUUCACAUUGUACGAAGCAUGUAUUUGGCCCACAUAGUUAUUUAUAAGUUGGAGCCCACAUAGAGAUUGAGAGACUUUACACUAAGUCUGAAUUUCUUCUUGUUUCUUUAACUUUUUUAAUGUUUUAUUUAUUUUUGAGAAAUAGAGAGAGAGAGAAAGAAAAUUCAAGUGGGGGAGAGGCAGAGAGAGAGGGGGACAGAGGAUCCAAAGCGGGCUCUGUGCUGAGAGUAGAGAGCCCUAUGCGGGGCUCAAACUCACAAACCGUGAGAUCAUGACCUGAGCUGAAAUCAGACGCUUCACUGACUGAGCCACCCAGACGCCCUCUUUUGUUUUUUUUAAAUUUAUUUUAAGAGAGAGAGAGAGAGAGAGAGAGAGGACAUGUGAGUGGGAGGGGCAGAGAGAGAGGGAGAGUCAGAGUCCCAAGCACAGAGCCCAAAGUGGGGCUCGAUCUCAUGAACCGUGAGAUCAUGACCUGAGCUAAAAUCAAGAGUCAGAUGCUUAACCAACUUAGACACCCAGGCACCCCUGAAUUUCUUGUUUCUUUUGAUAAGUCAGAUCUGGAGACAUUGUGCAGGCUCUUCCCUUCAGUUUGCCACACUCCCCACCACUCCCCAAGGUUACCCCCACACUGGGGUGGGAGGACAGCUGUUACAUAGUAUUAGGCUUGCAUUGUUGGUAUUUUCCCUCAUAGAGGAACAUGAUUCUAUAGUUAUGGCUUUAACGCAGCAAAUUAAAGCUGGAGCAGGCCUGGUGUUUGGAGAAAGAGAGAGCACAUACUCUUUCCGGUGGAAGUAAAGACUCCUAGCUUUAAGGCGCCAAUGACCCCCCCCCUUCACUCUCUUACACCGCGACUCCUAUGCCCAAGGACUCAGGCACCAAGGCCAUCCCCUAGAGGCAGUAGGGCAUCCCUGAUUCCGGGGCUGCAGAAGAAGUCCACAGGCAGAGUCUGUGACUUCUGUAAGGAUGACCUAUGUCAAGUUGUGGUCAGGAAGGGGCACUCUCCUCAGGCUAGGACUAGGUGCACAUGACCCCGACAGUGGGUAAGUUCAUAAAUUUUGCACCCUGGUGCCUCAUUUGCUUCACCUAGUCCCUGUCCUGCCGUAAACCAUUAGACAUUCCUCAGACAAGGAUCUUUUGGUUUCGUUCCCCCCUGCUCUGUCUCCAGUACCUAGAACAGCAGUGAACACACAGUAAGCCCUUGACGGACGUUUACUGAAUGAACAGAUCUGUCCUCUUACAGUUCAAGCUACAGUUGCCUCUGCUGGAGACAGCUGGUGGUACAAACCAGAGGCCAGCGUUGCCAGAAGGGACCUCGGAGAUCAACUGGGACAGUUUUUUCCAAACCCAAGACAUUCGAGUCUCACCACCAAGAGGUCUGCCUUAUCUGUAUCCCUCUUGAACUAUUCGUUAUUUCUGUCAUCCAACUAUCCUCUCUUUACACCCAUUCGUGUGGACUUUACUCACAUACUUUUUUCUGACAAAGAAAUCUUUAAAAAAUCAGUCCUGUAAAGGGAAACCGAUGAUUGCUUGCCAUCAAUAGGUAACUGUAAAAAUAAGGGCAAAGGAAAGAAAUCGUGCCCUGCCUUAUGGAGGGGAUGGGAACUCGAGCCCUCCCCUCUUGUAAUAAUGAAAAGAGGUUCAGAAACAGAAGAGAGGGGUUAAAGUCACAGUGCCUUUGGACUGAGACUUUCUCUUCCUGGGAAUCAGAAAGCUCAAAAGGUAAUUCAAAAGUAGUGAUGACCAUCAUGGAUGACCAUCAUGGACGACCAUCAUGGUGUCCAUCCCACUGGGGAAACCUGGAGCUGGUCGAACCCUCUCAUGCUUGCAAGACUUAGGCCCAAAGGAGAAGGGUUUACCCAAGGUCACAUUUCACUUAUUCAUUCAUCUAUCUGUUUGAUGUGUAUCCAUGGGAUACAAUCUAUAUGCCUGGGACUGUGAACCAAAAAGGCCAAGUCCCGCCAUCGUGGAGCUAUCAUCCUAGGGGCAGAGAAGGGACUGUAACCCAGGUCUGCUGACUCCUAGUCUAGUGCUCCUUCCUGGCCCCUUCCCACCUGGUAGAAGGUGUUUUCACAAUUCCCGUCCACACCCUGCCAGCAUAGGUGACUUGGGCCCUCGGUGUUACAUUAGCAUUUUUUCAUUUUAAUCAAGCAACUCCAUUUGCACCCCCCUCCUGGGCUCCCUGACCCUCCAGCAUGCACUUCGAGAGCCCUGCUAAUUUCAGCGUCUGGCUUCCAGACCCAGACGUUCAAACAACUACCUUUCAUCUCAGGUUUGUAACACAGAAAACCUCCAAUAUUGGGAACAGAUAGCCUCGAAGGUGGGUUCAUAUCUCUCAGCAAGAUUGCUGUAACUUUACUCUCCCGUGCCCGAUCAAGGCUUUCUCUCUGCCUCGUAGGUAUUUUAAUACAAAUGUUCCUUUCAUUUGACUGAUUGAAGGUCUCCAACCUGCAAUAAAUGAAACAUCUGAUCCCCUUGAAUCCAAAUCACUUUUUCUU
rnacentral:lncRNA from 1 species